UUUAAUAAUUAAUCAAUGUUUGGAAGAAAAUUUUUUCCCUUAGUUUCCGUCCGUUUAAGUUAUUUAAUUUAAUUUCUUCAUUCUUCUCAACGUUUUAUUAAUUCAUGUAUUAAUGUUUCGUGCAGGUCUAAACCUAUCCGACUUUGCCUCUUCGUCUUCGUGCUGUCGUCCCUAAAUAUCACCUUCACCUUUUUGUCUUUGCGUCGUCGUCCAUAAUCUUCGGAUUGCCCUAGCUGACUCCACUCGCCGUUAGGAUACUUUCUUCAAUUAAUGCGGUCUUCUGAAAUUCUUCAACAUCUAGCUGCCUCUGCUCGCCGUCAUCUCCUCCGUCUCCUGGAAUGCUUCAACCUUUUUUCACUAUUUGGAUGCAUGAAGAUGAAUUCAACCGUCGAAACAUUUCAACCUCCGACCUUUCGGUUCCUGUAAGAUGACUGUCGCAUGUUGUCUUUCUUCCUUAUAUAUAUAAUUGGUAAAAUUAUUAUCACAUGUUUUUUUCUUUAGCGCUUUCGUGAUUUGGUUUUCGUUUCUGGAUCUCUACUCUUUUUGCUUUAAAGAAUCUCUACUUCAAAUUUAGGUAAUUAUUUUUAUGACGAAAAUCAUUUAUUAAUUUCGUCUAUUUAAUUAUUGAUUUUCUGCUAUGUGCUUAAGCUUUGUGCUCUGGCUUUUAUGUUCAUGUCUUCAAUUUCCAUGACUGGUCCUUAACCUAGGAAAAGUUUCAAGCCUUCUUGUUAGUUUACGGCAUUAAAUGUUUGUCAAUAUUUAAAGAUCACGAAAGCAUGAGGUCUUUGCACUGUAUAUUGAGAUUGGGAAUUGAAGCCAAAAGAAAAAUAGGUGAAAUCAUUAAGCAUUGCAAGGUUUCUUCAAUUACACAACCGAUAAAUAAUCUAACAGAUUGAGAAUGAUGAUAUACAUCCAAAUGCAUCCAACUAACAGA